rnacentral:rRNA from 1 species
CCUACGGGAGGCAGCAGUGAGGAAUAUUGGUCAAUGGGCGCGAGCCUGAACCAGCCAAGUAGCGUGCGGGAUGAAGGUCCUAUGGAUCGUAAACCUCUUUUAUAAGGGAAUAAAGUGUGGGACGUGUCCUAUUUUGUAUGUACCUUAUGAAUAAGGAUCGGCUAACUCCGUGCCAGCAGCCGCGGUAAUACGGGGGAUCCGAGUGUUAUCGGGAUUUAUUGGGUUUAAAGGGUGCGUAGGCGGCCUUUAAGUCAGCGGUGAACGUCUGUGGCUCAACCAUAGAAUUGCCGUGGAAACUGGUGAGCUAGAGUAAGAUGGAGGCAGGCGGAAUGCGUGGUGAAGCGGUGAAAUGCUUAGAUAUCACGCAGAACCCCGAGUGCGAAGGCAGCCUACCAAGCCAAGACUGACGCUGAGGCACGAAAGCGUGGGGAUCAAACAGGAUUAGAUACCCGAGUAGUC